rnacentral:rRNA from 1 species
UACGUAGGUGGCAAGCGUUGUCCGGAUUUACUGGGCGUAAAGAGCGCGCAGGCGGUCGUUCAAGUCGCGUGUGAAAGCCCCCGGCUCAACUGGGGAGGGUCACGCGAUACUGAUCGACUCGAAGGCAGGAGAGGGUAGUGGAAUUCCCGGUGUAGUGGUGAAAUGCGUAGAUAUCUGGAGGAACACCGGUGGCGAAGGCGGCAUCCUGGACCGAGAUUGACGCUGAUGCGCGAAAGCCAGGGGAGCAAACGGG